rnacentral:rRNA from 1 species
ACCACGGAGCAAUGCAGGCUUGGCUGGCUUUGGCUGACGAGUGGCGGACGGGUGAGUAAUGUCUGGGAAACUGCCUGAUGGAGGGGGAUAACUACUGGAAACGGUAGCUAAUACCGCAUAACGUCGCAAGACCAAAGAGGGGGACCUUCGGGCCUCUUGCCAUCGGAUGUGCCCAGAUGGGAUUAGCUAGUAGGUGGGGUAACGGCUCACCUAGGCGACGAUCCCUAGCUGGUCUGAGAGGAUGACCAGCCACACUGGAACUGAGACACGGUCCAGACUCCUACGGGAGGCAGCAGUGGGGAAUAUUGCACAAUGGGCGCAAGCCUGAUGCAGCCAUGCCGCGUGUAUGAAGAAGGCCUUCGGGUUGUAAAGUACUUUCAGCGGGGAGGAAGGCGAUAAGGUUAAUAACCUUGUCGAUUGACGUUACCCGCAGAAGAAGCACCGGCUAACUCCGUGCCAGCAGCCGCGGUAAUACGGAGGGUGCAAGCGUUAAUCGGAAUUACUGGGCGUAAAGCGCACGCAGGCGGUCUGUCAAGUCGGAUGUGAAAUCCCCGGGCUCAACCUGGGAACUGCAUUCGAAACUGGCAGGCUAGAGUCUUGUAGAGGGGGGUAGAAUUCCAGGUGUAGCGG